rnacentral:misc_RNA from 1 species
GGAUGAAGAACGUAGCGAAAUGCGAUAAGUAGUGUGAAUUGCAGAAUUCAGUGAAUCAUCGAAUCUUUGAACGCACAUUGCGCCCCUUGGUAUUCCAUGGGGCAUGCCUGUUCGAGCGUCAUUUGUACCUUCAAGCUUUGCUUGGUGUUGGGUGUUUGUCUCGCCUUUGCGUGUAGACUCGCCUUAAAAUAAUUGGCAGCCGGCGUAUUGAUUUCGGAGCGCAGUACAUCUCGCGCUUUGCACUCAUAACGACAGCGUCCAAAAGUACAUUUUACACUCUUGACCUCGGAUCAGGUAGGGAUACCCGCUGAACUUAAGCAUAUCAAUAAGCGGAGGA